rnacentral:rRNA from 1 species
GCUUAAUUUGACUCAACGCGGGAAAUCUUACCGGGUCCGGACACACUGAGGAUUGACAGACAAAUAUAGAAAUUUUAUAUUUCUCAUAUAUAAAGAUGCUAGUUCUUUCAUGAUUAUGUGAUAGGUGGUGCAUGGCCGUUCUUAGUUCGUGGAGUGAUCUGUCUGCUUAAUUGCGUUUCAAUUUUUAUUAUGUAUACGUAUGACCCACGUUUACGCGUGCGAGUCUAGUAUGCUAUCAUUUGAAAGCAACGAACGUGACCGUAUCCUUUUAUUAUAUACGCACGCGUAUAUUUAUUCAUUAAAGGGACCGCUGUUUCUUUUUUUAAACCAGAGGAAGGUUACGGCAAUAACAGGUCUGUGAUGC